rnacentral:rRNA from 1 species
UUGCACGCUGGCGGAAUGCUAUACACCUGCAAGUCGAGCGGCAGCGCGGCCUUCGGGCUGGCGGCGAGCGGCGAACGGGUGAGUAAUGCAUCGGAACAUGCCCAGUCGUGGGGGAUAACACUUCGAAAGAAGUGCUAAUACCGCAUACGUCCUGAGGGGGAAAGCGGGGGAUCGCAAGACCUCGCGCGAUUGGAGUGGCCGAUGUCAGAUUAGCUAGUUGGUGGGGUAAAGGCCUACCAAGGCGACGAUCUGUAGCUGGUCUGAGAGGAUGAUCAGCCACACUGGGACUGAGACACGGCCCAGACUCCUACGGGAGGCAGCAGUGGGGAAUUUUGGACAAUGGGGGCAACCCUGAUCCAGCCAUUCCGCGUGAGUGAAGAAGGCCUUCGGGUUGUAAAGCUCUUUCGGCAGGAACGAAACGGUGGGCUCUAACAUAGUCCGCUAAUGACGGUACCUGAAGAAGAAGCACCGGCUAACUACGUG